rnacentral:rRNA from 1 species
CCCUUUUGGGAUGGAGCCGUCUAAGGUGAGGCUCGUGAUUGGGACUAAGUCGUAACAAGGUAGCCGUACCGGAAGGUGCGGCUGGAUCACCUCCUUUCUACGGAG